UGCCGACUAGUGUAAAGGCAGCACACCUGACUCUGACUCAGUUUGUGAGGGUUCGAAUCCUUCGUCGGCAGCCA
rnacentral:tRNA from 1 species